rnacentral:rRNA from 1 species
AACGAACGCUGGCGGCAUGCCUAGCACAUGCAAGUCGAACGAGACCUUCGGGUCUAGUGGCGCACGGGAGCGUAACGCGUGGGAACCUGCCCUUAGGUUCGGAAUAACUCCCCGAAAGGGGUGCUAAUACCGGAUAAUGUCUUCGGACCAAAGAUUUAUCGCCUUUGGAUGGGCCCGCGUUGGAUUAGCUAGUUGGUAGGGUAAAAGCCUACCAAGGCGACGAUCCAUAGCUGGUCUGAGAGGAUGAUCAGCCACACUGGGACUGAGACACGGCCCAGACUCCUACGGGAGGCAGCAGUGGGGAAUAUUGGACAAUGGGCGAAAGCCUGAUCCAGCAAUGCCGCGUGAGUGAUGAAGGCCUUAGGGUUGUAAAGCUCUUUUACCCGGGAUGAUAAUGACAGUACCGGGAGAAUAAGCUCCGGCUAACUCCGUG